rnacentral:rRNA from 1 species
AGGACGAGCGCUGGCGGCGUGCCUAACACAUGCAAGUCGAGCGGGGACAUGCGACGGAGUCAAAGUUUCGGAUGGAGACAAAGAUGUAUGUUCUAGCGGCGGACGGGUGAGUAACGCGUGAGCAACCUGUCCCUUACAGGGGGAUAACACAGCGAAAGUUGUACUAAUACCGCAUAAGACCACAGCAGGACAUCCUGCAGGGGGUCAAAGGAGCAAUCCGGUAAGGGGUGGGCUCGCGUCCGAUUAGAUAGUUGGUGAGGUAACGGCCCACCAAGUCAACGAUCGGUAGCCGACCUGAGAGGGUGAUCGGCCACAUUGGGACUGAGACACGGCCCAAACUCCUACGGGAGGCAGCAGUGGGGAAUAUUGGGCAAUGGGGGGAACCCUGACCCAGCAACGCCGCGUGAGGGAAGAAGGUUUUCGGAUCGUAAACCUCUGUCCUUGGUGAAGAGGAAGAGACGGUAGCCAAGGAGGAAGCCCCGGCUAACUACGUGCCAGCAGCUGC